AACGCGAAGAACCUUACCUGGGCUCGAACGGCUUUGGAUCGACGGUGGAAACACUGUUUUCCCGCAAGGGACCGGAGUCGAGGUGCUGCAUGGCUGUCGUCAGCUCGUGUCGUGAGAUGUUGGGUUAAGUCCCGCAACGAGCGCAACCCUUGUCCUAUGUUGCCAGCGGGUAAUGCCGGGGACUCGUAGGAGACUGCCGGGGUCAACUCGGAGGAAGGUGGGGACGACGUCAAGUCAUCAUGCCCCUUACGUCCAGGGCUGCACACAUGCUACAAUGGCUGGUACAACGGGCUGCUAAUCCGCGAGGAGGAGCCAAUCCCCAAAGCCAGUCUCAGUUCGGAUUGGAGUCUGCAACUCGACUCCAUGAAGUCGGAGUCGCUAGUAAUCCCGGAUCAGCAACGCCGGGGUGAAUACGUUCCCGGGCCUUGUACACACCGAGUAUA
rnacentral:rRNA from 1 species